GAUGAACGCUGGCGGCGUGCUUAACACAUGCAAGUCGAACGAAGCAUUUGCGACAGAUUUUUUCGGAAUGAAGUUGCUUAUGACUGAGUGGCGGACGGGUGAGUAACGCGUGGGUAACCUGCCUUGUACUGGGGGAUAGCAGCUGGAAGCGGCUGGUAAUACCGCAUAAGCGCACAAUGUUGCAUGACAUGGUGUGAAAAACUCCGGUGGUAUAAGAUGGACCCGCGUCUGAUUAGCUAGUUGGUGAGAUAACAGCCCACCAAGGCGACGAUCAGUAGCCGACCUGAGAGGGUGACCGGCCACAUUGGGGCUGAGACACGGCCCAGACUCCUACGGGAGGCGGCAGUGGGGAAUAUUGCACAAUGGAGGAAACUCUGAUGCAGCGACGCCGCGUGAGUGAAGAAGUAAUUCGUUAUGUAAAGCUCUAUCAGCAGGGAAGAUAGUGACGGUACCUGACUAAGAAGCUCCGGCUAAAUACGUG
rnacentral:rRNA from 1 species